GACGAACGCUGGCGGCGUGCUUAACACAUGCGAGUCGAACGGAAAGGCCCUGCUUUGGUGGGGUGCUCGAGUGGCGAACGGGUGAGUAACACGUGAGUAACCUGCCCUUGACUUUGGGAUAACUUCAGGAAACUGGGGCUAAUACCGGAUAGGAGCUCCUGCUGCAUUGUGGGGGUUGGAAAGUUUCGGCGGUUGGGGAUGGACUCGCGGCUUAUCAGCUUGUUGGUGGGGUAGUGGCUUACCAAGGCUUUGACGGGUAGCCGGCCUGAGAGGGUGACCGGCCACAUUAGGACUGAGAUACGGCCCAGAGUCGUACGGGAGGCAGCAGUGGGGAAUAUUGCAAAAUGGGCGGAAGCCUGAUGCGGCAGCGCCGCGUGCGGGAUGACGGCCUUCGGGUUGUAAACCGCUUUCGCCUGUGACGAAGCGUGAGUGACGGUAAUGAGUGAAGAAGCACCGGCUAACUACGUG
rnacentral:rRNA from 1 species